GCUUGAACUGAUGCGCUACAGCGAUCUGUCACGACACAUUAAAGAGCCAUAAAAAGAUGAAAAUGAUAUUACAAAUGAUAAAAUUUGAAAGCUGAGACUUUUGUUUCAUAACAAAAGUAACCUGCUCUGUCUUGAGUGUUCUGUCAGAUCAGUUUCCUCUUUGCUCUGUGAUGUAAUUUUCACUGUGUGAGAACAUGAUGUGUGGCAUGAGAUCGCCAUGGCUUGUCGAAUGUAGCAUCAGUAACUAAGGGGGGUGGGUCUUUGUGCAGGGUCAAUUGAGUAUAGAUGAUACACCAAGCUAAAGGACUGAAUAAUACAUAAAAAUUUUAAAAAACACACUACAGAAAUUAAAAAACACACUACAGUUCAAAAGUUUGGGGUCGGCAAGUCUAUUUUGUUUUUCACAGUCUCUUAUGUUCACCAAAGCUGCAUUUACUUGAUCAAAAAUACAGUAAAAACAAAAAUAUUGCAAAAUACACCAACUAAUUUUUUUACCAGUGCCAUUUAGAGAUUUAUCUUAAUACUGCAGGUAGAGCCCUGAUGGCAAAGCAAAUGGAACCACUCAGGCAAACAAGUGGUGAGCAAAUAUUUAAAAACUUUUAAAUUGUAUUAGGGUGCACAGUCAUUUUUAGUCAUAAAAAAAAAGGAUUUCUUGUAAAUAUUCAUCCAAACAUAGCAAAUAAUCAAACUUCCUGGACCACGUUCAAGUAAAACAAAAAUCACCUAAAAUGCCAUGGGUAGGCCCUAAAACUAUUUAAGGAUUACUAAGUUCCCAGACAUGUUUUUCCCUUGAGCAACUGGGGCUUUCCCAGUCUGACCUUUGUUAUAAUGGGCUUUCCCACACAAAGCUUACAUGCUAGUAGGCUAUCACAAUGCUAACACUAGCUAACUAUAGUUUGCUCUGAUGUUAAUCAGUCAGUCGGAACAACACUUGAAAGUCAAUAAAUACACUAAUUUUAAAAGGUACAACUGUUGAAAGUGCUUUAAGAACUGUAAAACAUAACCUCAUUCAGCACUACAGAGAGACUACUGCUUGGAGAAGCAUGAAUAUUGAGAGUCAGAACAUGAGACGGAAAUACAGAGCAACAGAAGGAGAAAGAAAGAGAAAGGCUGUACAGGAGAGGUGAAGCUGAAGCAGACCCAGUCAGUCCAUAUAAGGCCAGUCUGAAGGAGGAGAGCAGCCUCAGGAACGUUGUUCGGAGUGCUGGGAUGUUCAUGGCUGCCAAUGGUUCUGGGUGUUUCCUUACUAGCUCAAGCAAAAGUCAAUACAAUUUCUGGUCCUUCAUAUGGCUUGGUUCGAUCUAGUUUGAUCGCUCAGAAAAGUAAUAGCACAUCAACAAUGAACCUUAUGACUUGAGGCAUCAUUUGCGUAGCAACAACAGCAAGAGACGAGUUAUGCAGUGGCCACUCGUGGUAAGCCUACCUCAAAGUAAGCUCACACACGUCUUUAGUGAGAGUGCUAGUGAUGGGACCUGAAAGAAACACAUGAAAGACUUGCCAGUCUUCUUAAAAAUGAGAAUAAUUUCCCUCCAGUUCUGCAUCCCCUGCACGGCUAUGCAAAUACAUGCACAUACGCUCACCAAGACGUACAGAGGAGAUAUGCAACUCAAACAUCUUUGAUGGAUUUACAAUACAGUGCAAUAGCCUCACACGUUCCUAUAAAGGAGAUGCGCAAAUACUCACAUCCAGACAUACACGUGGCAGCUAUACAUUUUAAAUCAGCCUUCUCAGAAAAUAGAGCGUUUCCUCUCUGAAGCAGAGCCUCUUUUUAUUUCAGUAUUAAAAAACAAAUUCCAACCUGCUGUAAAGACUCCCUCCUUCUCUCUCCCCCAAUAAUCCCCCCACCCUUCAGCCUCUCUUCCUCUCUCCAUCAUCUCUCUCUCUCUCUCUAGCGUUCUCUCCACAAUAUUUGCAUAAUUUCUCUGCCGUAUUCUGAUGUAUGCGUGUGAAUAAUAAAGCUCAUGGGCGCGGCGUGCCAGGCUGCCACUGUUCAUUACGACCGCGCACAGCAAAGCUAGGCUCCGCAGGGCCCUCAUUAGCUAUUCCACUCAGAAUAAAGGCUCACUCACUCUCUCUCUUCCUAAUGCGCUCGCUCUCUCGCUCGCUUGCACCCGCAACUCUCUCUUAUACUCUCUCUCUCUCUCUCGCACACACACUUUUUUUUGUCACUCACUUUUUCUCUCUUUCGUAUUUUACUAUUUCUCUCUCUAACUGGUGUUAUACUCUCUAAGUUUAGGGUCAGCAUUGGAAAAAUGUAACUAUUUAGUGUCACAUUACACUUAAUUAUGUUUUAUAGGUUAGAAUUAGUUAAAAGGAUAGUUCAUCUCAAAAUUACAAUUCUGCCAUAAACCUCACCAAUUCAAUCCUGUAUGAUUUUUUUUCUUCUUCCAUGGAACAAAAGUUAUUUAAAAAAAGGUUUGCUUUUUUGGACCCUAUUAACUUUCACUGUAUGGACAAAAACAGUUAAAACACACUUUUGUGUGUGUGUGUGUGUGUGUGUUCCACACAUUUGGAACAACAUGGUGGUAAAUAACAUUAUUUUUGGGGGAUGAACAAUCACUUCAGUUCAUUAUGAACUAGGAUGAAUUAACAAUGAACAAUAGGAUGUUUAUAAAUUAAACAAAAUUAAUAAAUGCUAAGUUUGUAAAUGCUGUAAACCUCUGAACUUAUGUUAACUAACAUUAAGAACCUUACUAUAAAAAACAACCAAUUAUUGGUUAAUCGUCUCUUUCUAUAGUCAAUGUCGUGUUUGUACAAUACAGUGUAAAGUUUGGGUGCAAUGUAAGCAUCGACAUCAAGCUACAUAAAAAAAAUAAAUACAUUUAAUUGAACCACACGUUAAAUGCAUUAAUUUUCUCUUUCUUUGACUUUCUCCUAUUUUAAAGCUCUAAACAAAGAGACACCUCCAGGCCUGAAGAUGGUGCUGUAAUUUGUUUUUUCCCCAUCUCCUUCUAACUCUGUGGCCAUGGUUAUAAUGACCGUGUUAAGAUUCUUGCCCUCAUCUGACCUCCAUCGCCUUCAGAGUGAGACGACCCACUGUAUAAUCCUCCCACCACUCCAAUGUGCCACUUGAAUACACACGCCCUUCCGCUCAUACACACACUCACACAGAAGCACCUAAAGACACAGACAUUCUCUCUCUUUCCUUCUCUAUUUCACCCUUCCUCAUUAACCACUGUUCUAGCUAAUUAACACAUCCAGAGAGCCAUUAACAUCUCCUCCCUGCACAGGGAGACGGAAAGGAGUGAGAGGGGAAGUCCCCUGAACACUGAAGGGCACACAUACACACACGCACACACUGUCCAGUUUCACCAGACAGUGGAGAGACUGGAUACUGUCACCUCAAUGAACUUAACUCUUACUUUUUAGAACCGAACUCUGGAUUUCUUGUUCAUUCAAAAUUAGUUGGUUUUGCAAUUGUUCAGGCAAAUUUCUUCUUCACUAUUCAAAAUUGUGCCUCUAGGCUUUUUUAAGCAAUACUUUGUGUCUGUCCAAUGUUUUCUUUUUUGUUUUAUUACUGAUAAUUACAUCUACAGUCAGUUAACUUUGGUGGUAGCAUAAUUGUUAAAAAUCUGGAGUGGUGCACUUUAAAAAUUGUUAACAUUAGGCAAUGCAUUAGCUAUUCUAUAUAUAAUACACAAGGUAUUAUGAACAAAAAAACUAUUUUUUAUUAAUUUUAAAAAAUAUAUAUUAAUUUUCAGCCUUUAUUAAUUUUGGUUGAUGUAAAUUUCAACAUAUUUUAAUAAAUUAAUGUAUUAUGAAUACACAUGAAUUAACAACAGCACAUUCAUGAAUUAACCUAGAUUAGAAAAUGUUGUAGAAAUGUUACAAAAAUAUUGUUGACCAUGACACCAUACAGUCAUGCAUUUCCUCAUGUUAACAAACUGAAACUUACUUUAAAGUGUUACUGGAACAGACAAUGCAGAAGAUCUUGAUCAUACAAUAUUAAUUAAAUGAAAAGAGUGAAAUUAUUCUCAUGUGCAAUAUUUGCUGCAGUUACCAAUGUUACAAUGGAAAAAGGAUCAAAAAGACAUGCUAUAUAUAUAUAUAUAUAUAUAAAAUAUUUAAAUUAUAGCAUGUGACAUCAUAAUAAAAUCCUACUCAGAAUAACUUCACUACAUCAUAUUUGUGUUUUGAUACAAAUAAAAAAAGACAAAGACAGAUAAUCACUCAUACUUGUAGACCGUAUUUUAUACAAAUAAACAGCUCGUAUUUGGCUACUCAUUGUUAAAAGUAACCAUUAUUAGGAUGAUCAGUCCUGGAAAUGCAGUUACAUUGAAGAGAAAGGAAAUUAUAUGGGUCCUCCACCCUUGUUCAUUCCCACUGUAACUACUGCCUUCCCUCUUGCCCGUGUGUGUGAGUGUGUGUGCGUGUGCGUGUGUUUUGUCCGGUUUUAGUAGCCUGUGCGUGCACACCCUCCAGUGACAGAUGGCGUCAAAGGAUCAUGGCUCUCAUUGUCCUCUGAUGGCUAUUUGUGUGCGUGGAGGACAGCCGUUACUGAAGGGAGAAACUAAAGCGGCUCCGCACACCACUGAGGCCCCCUAGACAGUGGAGGAAUCAGGGCUGCUGCUAUAUUCGCUGAAACACCUGAGAGCAGAGCUGCUCAUCGACCAACCCCCUCUACUUUAAUUAACCAGUGUGCUAGGAACACGGCCGGUCAUUCAUAUCUCAUCAGUAUUUUAGUGACGGGAACGGAUUUCCUAGCAAGCACACAUCAUUGUGUCAUACAAUAGCGAUUCUCUCAAAGACCUGAUUUUGUUCCUAAUAUUUCUGUUGUGUUUAAAGCAUGGAAUUACAGCAAUAAGAAAAAGAAUGAAGAAUGAGAGAAAAAUAAUAAUCACAAAAAGUAAAAAUAAUUAACUAAAAAACACCAUAAUUAUUACUUGUGUUUCUACUAGUGUUUAUCUUAUAUCCAGGCCAUAUGCAUAACAUUGGAGCUAAGUGAUAGAAUACAUAUAUAUUUCAAAUAUGAAUUAAUAUAAAUAAAUCAAUAGUAAAUAUACAUUUAAUUGGGCAACAAUCAAAAUAUGGAGGAAAUGACUGCAUUUCUUUAAAUACAGUAAGAACAGUAAUACAUGUAAUUUAGUCGUGUGAUGGCAAUUACUCCCAAAUGAGCCAUUACUCCAGUCUUCAGUGUCACAUGAUGCUUCAGAAAUCAUUCUAUUAUGCUGAUUUAGUGCUCAGAAAGGAUUUCAUAUUAUUAUCAAUAUUUCAAUCAGUUGUACUCCUUAAUAUUUGUGUGGGAUUUUUUCUCUCUCAAGAUUUCAGCAUUUUUUGUAAGUUUUAUUGUCACCUUUGAUUCAUUUCAUGCAUCUUUGCUAAACAAAAAUAUUAGUUUCUUAAAAUAAAUAAAUAAAUAAUAAUAAUAAUAAUCUUAACCCCAACCUAACCCAAACAUUUGAAUGCUAGUGUGCAUUAUAACCAAACAGAAAAAUAUAAUUGUUUUUCAAUUUGACUCGUGACCCAGGACUGAAACUAGUGUUGUCAAAAUGGCCAGCACUUUGGAACCAAGUCGAUAUUUAAAUAAAUACUUUUUUUUUUUUUUUUUUAAAAAGGAAAUAAAACGAUACCAGCCUUUUGUACAAUACUGAUACAAGGUCAAUCAAGACCUGCUGAUAGGUGGCUGCUUUCAAAUGCAUCAAAGGUUUCUAUUUACAAUGUGUUUUUUGAUAUUUGAUAUUUUGUUAAAUUAAGUAAGGCAGCAUGCAGAUGUUAUUGUAAUGUAUUAUUUAAAUAGUAUUAGCAAUUAAUUAAUUACCCCAUGUUGCACUAGGGAGGCUUUCUUUUAUUUCUUUAUUUAUUUGAUUCCAUACUGUUUGCUAAAAGUUCUGUAAUUUAUUAGUCGAUAUAUAAUACAGCAUGUGGUGUAUGCCAUGCCUCGUCUUAUUCAUUUUGGUUAGUAAACAUUAUAUAAGCUAGUUUGUCAUUGUAGCCUACUGUUUUAUAGCCUUUACUGUUUUACUGUUUUUAAUUAAGAACAAUAAAUCCAUCUUUUAA